rnacentral:rRNA from 1 species
AAAGGGUGCGUAGGCUGUAUAUUAAGUCAGCGGUGAAAAGUUUCGGCUUAACCGGAAUCGUGCCGUUGAAACUGUUAUACUUGAAUUAGGUUUAGGUAGGCGGAAUGUGUAAUGUAGCGGUGAAAUGCUUAGAUAUUACCCAGAACACCAAUUGCGAAGGCAGCUUACUGUACCUUGAUUGACGCUGAUGCACGAAAGCGUGGGUAUCGAACAGGAUUAGAUACCCUGGUAGUCCACGCCGUAAACGAUGAUCACUGGCUGUGUGCGAUAUAUAGUAUGUGGCUGAGCGAAAGCAUUAAGUGAUCCACCUGGGGAAUACGUUCGCAAGAAUGAAACUCAAAGGAAUUGACGGGGGCCCGCACAAGCGGAGGAACAUGUGGUUUAAUUCGAUGAUACGCGAGGAACCUUACCUGGUCUUAAAUGAUGUUUGCUAUAAUCGGAAACGGUUAUUUCUUCGGACAGAUAUCAAGGUGCUGCAUGGCUGUCGUCAGCUCGUGCCGUGAGGUGUCGGGUUAAGUCCCAUAACGAGCGCAACCCCUAUCAUUAGUUGCUAACAGUUUAAGCUGAGGACUCUAGUGAGACUGCCACCGUAAGGUGUGAGGAAGGUGGGGAUGACGUCAAGUCAGCACGGCCCUUACGACCAGGGCUACACACGUGUUACAAUGGUCGAUACAAUAUGUUGCAAUUCGGUGACGGAGAGCUAAUCAAUAAAGUCGGUCUCAGUUCGGAUCGGAGUCUGCAACUCGGCUCCGUGAAGUUGGAUUCGCUAGUAAUCGCAUAUCAUCAACGAUGCGGUGAAUACGUUCCCGGGCCUUGUACACACCGCCCGUCAAGCCAUGGAAGCUGGGGGUACCUGAAGUUCGUAACCGCGAGGGGCGGCCUAGGGUAAUACUAGUAACUGGGGCUAAGUCGUAACAAGGUAGCCGUACCGGAAGGUGUGGCUG